GUUCCAAAUUUACACUCUCGGGGCAUAAUAGAACAAUAUAAUUAGGUUUUGCUCUUUAUUCGAUUGAAUGAGAAAAAGUUCUAGUUGCAAAGUUAUACUGUUAGGGCUCAACUGAGUAGUCUAACGUUGUUCCGGUUUUGGUUCUUGUGAACGUUGACAUCGAUUCGUUCCAAAUUUACACUCUUGGGGCAUAACAGAAAGCUUUUACUCCUUGUUCAAUAGAAUGAGAAAAAGUACUCGUUGCAAAGUUAUACUAUUAUGGCGCAACUGAGUAGUCUAAUGUUGUUCCGGUUUUGGUUUUUGUGAACGUUGACAUCGAUUCGUUCCAAAUUUCACUCUCGGGGCUUAAUAUAACAAUUUAAUUAGGUUUUACUCUUUGUUCGAUUAAAUGAGAAAAAGUACUUGUUGCAAUGUUAUACUGUUAGGGCGCAACUGAGUAGUCUGAUGUUGUUCCGGUUUUGGUUCUUGUGGAAGUUGACAUCGAUUCAUUUCAAAUUUACACUAUCGGAGCAUGACAGAACAAUAUAAUAAGGUUUUACUCUUUGUUCGAUUGAAUGAGAAAAAGUACUAGUUGCAAUGUUAUACUGUUAGGGCUCAACUGGGUAGUCUAACGUUUUUUCGGUUUAGGUUCUUGUGAACGUUGUCAUCGAUUCGUUCCAAAUUUACACACUCGGGACAUAAAAGAAAGCUUUUACUCCUUGUUCGAUACAUUGAGAAAAAGUACUCGUUGCAAAGUUAUACUGUUAUGGCGCAACAGAGUAGUCUAAUGUUGUUCCGGUUUUGGUUCAUGUGAACGUUGACAUCGAUUCGUUCCAAAUUAACACUCUCGGGGCAUAAUAGAACAAUAUAAUUAGGUUUUACGCUUUAUUCGAUUGAAUCAGAAAAAGUACUCGUUGCAAUGUUAUACUGUUAGGGCUCAACUGAGUAGUCUAACGUUGUUCCGGUUUUGGUUCUUGUGAACGUUGACAUCGAUUCGUUCCAAAUUUAUACUCUCGGGGUAUAAUAGAAUAAUAUUAUUAGGUUUUACUGUGACACCCGAAUAGUCCCACAUCGGAUGGGAAUGGGGUUGUCAUUAGGUUUAUAAGAGACUUAGACACUAGUAAUAAUAACUGGGCUUAAGCAUUUUGGGCUGUUGGUUGGGCCCCGACGAGUUAUUAUUGCUAGUGGGCUGGGUUGUUACAUUUGGUAUCAGAGCCGGUUCACCAGCUGGACAUGUGUGGCGAGUCUCGGCUGUGCCAGGGUCUGGAUGACGGGCUAGCGAGACGAGUCUCACAUCGCCUGGUGAUCUUGGGUUGUGUGUGUUUGGACUGACGAGGACGUCAGGGCCUUAACAGGGGGAGUCUGUGACACCCGAAUAGUCCCACAUCGGAUGGGAAUGGGGUUGUCAUUAGGUUUAUAAGAGACUUAGACACUAGUAAUAAUAACUGGGCUUAAGCAUUUUGGGCUGUUGGUUGGGCCCCGACGAGUUAUUAUUGCUAGUGGGCUGGGUUGUUACAUUUGGUAUCAGAGCCGGUUCACCAGCUGGACAUGUGUGGCGAGUCUCGGCUGUGCCAGGGUCUGGAUGACGGGCUAGCGAGACGAGUCUCACAUCGCCUGGUGAUCUUGGGUUGUGUGUGUUUGGACUGACGAGGACGUCAGGGCCUUAACAGGGGGAGUCUGUGACACCCGAAUAGUCCCACAUCGGAUGGGAAUGGGGUUGUCAUUAGGUUUAUAAGAGACUUAGACACUAGUAAUAAUAACUGGGCUUAAGCAUUUUGGGCUGUUGGUUGGGCCCAACGAGUUAUUAUUGCUAGUGGGCUAGGUCGUUACAUUUGUGCUUUAUUCGAUUGAACGAGAAAAAGUACUCGUCGGAAAGUUAUAUUGUUAUGGCGCAACUGAGUAGUUUAAUGUAGUUCAAGUUUUGGUUCUUGUGAACGUUGACAUCGAUUCGUUCCAAAUUUACACUCUCGGGGCAUAAUAGAAAUCUUUUACUCUUUGUUCGAAAGAAUGAGAAAAGUACUCGUUGCAAAGUUAUAUUGUUAUGGCGCAACAGAGUGUCUAAUUUUGCUCCGAUUUUGGUUCUUGUCAACGUUGACAUCGAUUCGUUCCAAAUUUACACUCUCGGGGCAUAAUAGAACAAUAUAAUUAGGUUUUACGCUUUAUUCUACUGAAUAAGAAAAAGUACUCGUUGCAAAGUUAUACUGUUAUGGCGCAACAGAGCAGUUUAAUGUUGUUCCGGUUUUGGUUGUUGAAAACGUUGACAUCGAUUCGUUCCAAAUUUAUACACUUGGGGCAUAAUAGAACAAUAUAAUUAGGUUUUACACUUUAUUCGAUUGAAUGACAAAAAGCACUUGUUGCAAAGUUAUACUGUUAUGGCGCAACUGAGUAGUCUAAUUUAGUUCCGGUUUUGGUUUUUGUGAUCUUUGACAUCGAUUCGUUCCAAAUUUACACUAUCGGGGCAUAACAGAACAAUAUAAUCGGUUUUACUCUUUGUUGGAUUGAAUGAGAAAAAGUACUAGUUGCAAUGUUAUACUGUUAGGGCUCAACUGAGUAGUCUAACAUUUUUCCGGUUUAGGUUCUUGUGAACGUUGUCAACGAUUCGUUCCAAAUUUACACUCCCGGGGCAUAAAAGAACGCUUUUACUCCUUGUCCAAUAGAUUGAGAAAAAUUACUCGUUGCAAAGUUAUACGGUUAUGGCACAACAGAGUAGUCUAAUGUUGUUCCGAUUUUGGUUCAUGUGAACAUUGACAUCGAUUCGUUCCAAAUUUACACUCCCGGGGUAUAAUAGAACAUUAUAAUUAGGUUUUAUGCUUUGUUCGAUUGAAUGAGAAAAAGUACUAGUUGCAAUGUUAUACUGUUAGGGCUCAACUGAGUUGUCUAACGUUGUUCCGGUUUUGGUUCUUGUGAACGUUGACAUCGAUUCGUUCCAAAUUUGCACUCUCGGGGCAUAAUAGAACAAUAUAUUUAGGUUUUACGCUUUAUUCUAUUGAACGAGAAAAAGUACUCGUCACAAAGUUAUACUGUUAUGGCGCAACUGAGUAGUCUAAUGUAGUUCCGGUUAUGGUUCUUGUGAACGUUGACAUCGAUUCGUUCCAAAUUUACACUCUCGGAGCAUAAUAGAAAGUUUUUACUCCCUGUUCGAUAGAAUGAUAAAAAGUACUCGUUGUAAAAUUAUACUGUUAUGGCGCAACUGAGUAGUCUAAUAUUGUUCCGGUUUCGGUUCUUGUGAACGUUGACUCGAUUCGUUCCAAAUUUAAACUCUCGGGGCGUAAUAGAACAAUAUAAUUAGGUUUUGCUCUUUGUUAGAAUGAAUGAGAAAAAAUACUAGUUGCAAAGUUAUACUGUUAGGGCUCGACUGAGUAGUCUAACGUUGUUCCGGAUUUUUUUCUUGUGAACAUUGACAUCAAUUCGUUCCAAAUUUAAACUCUCGGGGUGUAAUAGAAUAAUAUAAUUAGGUUUUGCACUUUGUUCGAUUGAAUGAGAAAAAAUACUAGUUGCAAUGUUAUACUGUUAGGGCUCAACUGAGUAGUCUAACGUUGUUCCGGUUUUGGUUUUUCUGAACGUUGACAUCGAUUCGUUCCAAAUUUACACUCUCGGGGUAUAAUAGAACCAUAUAAUUAUUUUUUACGUUUUAUUCUAUUGAAUGAGAAAAAGUACUCGUUGCAAAGUUAUACUAUUAUGGCGCAACUGAGUAGUCUAAUGUAGUUCCGGUUUUGGUUUUUGUGAACGUUGACAUCGAUUCGUUCCAAAUUUACACUCUCGGGGUAUAAUAGAAAGUUUUUACUUCUUAUUCGAUAGAAUGAUAAAAAGUACUCGUUGUAAAGUUAUACUAUUAUGGCGCAACUGAGUAGUCUAAUGUUGUUCCGGUUUUGGUUCUUGUGAACGUUGACAUCGAUUCGUUUCAAAUUUAAACUCUCGGGGCGUAAUAGAACAAAAUAAUUAGGUUUUGCUCUUUUUUCGAAUGAAUGAGAAAAAAUGACAGUUGCAAAGUCAUACUGUUAGGGCUCAACAUAGUAGUCUAACGUUGUUCCGCUAUUGGUUCUUGUGAACGUUGACAUCGAUUCGAUCCAAAUUUACACUCUCGGGGUAUAAUAGAAAGCUUUUACUCCCUGUUCGAUAGAAUGAGAAAAUGUAUUCGUUGCAAAGUUAUACUGUUAUGGCGCAACGAGUAGUCUAAUGUUGUUCCGGUUUUGGUUCUUGUGAACGUUGACAUAGAUUUAUUCCAAAUUUAAACUCUCGGAGCGUAAUAGAACAAUAUAAUUAGGUUUUGCUCUUUGAUCGAUUGAAUAGGAAAAAAUAUUUGUUGCAAAGUUAUACUGUUAUGGCGCAACUGAGUAGUCUAAUUUAGUUCCGGUUUUGGUUCUUGUGAACUUUGACAUCGAUUCGUUCCAAAUUUACACUAUCGGGGCAUAGCAGAACAAUAUAAUAAGGUAUUACUCUUUGUUCGAUUAAAUGAGAAAAAGUACUAGUUGCGAUGUUAUACUGUUAGGGCUCUACUGAGUAGUCUAACGUUUUUCCGGUUUAGGUUCUUGUGAACGUUGUCAUCGAUUCGUUCCAAAUUUACACUCUCGGGGCAUAAAAGAACACUUUUACUCCUUAUUCGAUAGAAUAAGAAAAAGUACUCGUUGCAAAGUUAUACUGUUAUAGCGCAACAGGGUAGUCUAAUGUUGUUCCGGUUUUGGUUCAUGCGAACGUUGACAUCGAUUAGCAAAUUUACACUCCCAGCGUAUAAUAGAACAAUAUAAUUAGGUUUUACUCUUUGUUCGAUUAAAUGAGAAAAAGUACUAGUUGCAAUGUUAUACUGUUAGGGCUCUACUGAGUUGUCUAACGUUGUUCCGGUUUUGGUUCUUGUGAACGUUGACAUCAUUUCGUUCCAAAUUUACACUCUCGGGGCAUAAUAGAACAAUAUUAUUAGGUUUUACGCUUUAUUCGAUUGAACGAGAAAAAGUUCUCGUCGCAAAGUUAUAUUGUUAUGGCGCAACUGAAUAGUCUAAUGUAGUUCCGGUUAUGGUUCUUGUGAACGUUGACAUCGAUUCAUUCCAAAUUUACACUCUCGGGGUAUAAUAGAAAGCUUUUACUCCCUGUUCGAUAGAAUGAUAAAAAGUACUCGUUGUAAAAUUAUACUGUUAUGUCGCAACUGAGUAGUCUAAUAUUGUUCUGGUUUUGGUUCUUGUGAACGUUGACAUCGAUUCGUUCCAAAUUUAAACUCCCGGGGCGUAAUAGAACAAUAUAAUUAGGUUUUGCUCUUUGUUCGAAUGAAUGAGAAAAAAUAUUAGUUCCAAAGUUAUACUGUUAGGGCUCAACUGAGUAGUCCAACGUUGUUCCGGUUUUUUUUCUUGUGAAUGUUGACAUCGAUUCGUUCCAAAUUUAAACUCUCGGGGCGUAAUAGAAUAAUAUAAUUAGGUUUUGCGCUUUGUUCGAUUGACUCAGAAAAAAUACUAGUUGCAAUGUUAUACUGUUAGGGCUCAACUGAGAAGUCUAACGUUGUUCCGGUUUUGGUUCUUGUGAACGUUGACAUCGUUUUGUUGCAAAUUUACACUCUCGGGGCAUAAUAGAAAUCUUUUACUCUUUGUUCGAUUGAAUGAGAAAAAGUACUCGUUGCAAAGUUAUACUGUUAUGGCGCAACUGAGUAGUGUUUUGGUUUUUGUGAACUUUGACAAUAAUUCGUUCCAAAUUUACACUCUCGGGACAUAAUAGAACAAUAUAAUUAGGUUUUGCACUUUGUUCGAUUGAAUGAGAAAAAGCUCUAGUUGCAAAGUUAUACUGUUAAGGCUCAACUGAGUAGUCUAACGUUGCUCUAAUUUUUGUUCUUGUGAACGUUGACAUCGUUUCGUUCCAAAUUUACACUUUCGGGGCAUAAUAGAAAGCUUUUACUCCCAGUUCGAUAGAAUGAGAAAAAGUACUCGUUGCAAAGUUAUUCUGUUAUGGCGCAACAGAGUAGUCUAAUGUUGUUCCGGUUUUUGUUCUUGUUAACGUUGACAUCGAUUCGUUCCAAAUUUACACUCUCGGGGCAAAAUAGAACAAUAUAAUUAGAUUUUACUCUUUGUUCGAUUGAAUGAGAAAAAGUGCUAGCUUCAAUGUUAUACUGUUAGGGCUCAACUGAGUAGUCUCACGUUUUUCCGAUUUUGGUUCUUGUGAACGUUGACAUCGAUUCGUUCCAAAUUUACACUCUCGGGGCAUAAUAGAAAGCUUUUACUCCUUGUUCGAUAGAUUGAGAAAAAGUACUUAUUGCAAAGUUAUACUGUUAUGGCGCAACAGAAUAGUCUAAUGUUGUUCCGGUUUUGGUUCUUGUGAACGUUGACAUCG
rnacentral:lncRNA from 1 species